GAUGAACGCUGGCGGCGUGCCUAAUACAUGCAAGUCGAGCGAACAGAUGAGGAGCUUGCUCCUCUGACGUUAGCGGCGGACGGGUGAGUAACACGUGGAUAACCUACCUAUAAGACUGGGAUAACUUCGGGAAACCGGAGCUAAUACCGGAUAAUAUAUUGAACCGCAUGGUUCAAUAGUGAAAGACGGUUUUGCUGUCACUUAUAGAUGGAUCCGCGCCGCAUUAGCUAGUUGGUAAGGUAACGGCUUACCAAGGCGACGAUGCGUAGCCGACCUGAGAGGGUCAUCGGCCACGCUAGAAAUGAGACACGUUCCAUACUCCUACGGGAGGCAGCAGUAUGGAAUCUUCCGCAAUGGGCGAAAGCCUGACGGUGCAACGCCGCGUGAGUGAUGAAGCUCUUCUGAGCGUAAAACUCGGUUAUUAGGGAAGAACAAAUGUGUAAGUAACUAUGCACGUCUUGACGGUACCUAAUCAGAAAGCCACGGCUAGCUACGUG
rnacentral:rRNA from 1 species